AAUUUGGUUUUGGAAUCUAAAGUUGGGGAGAGUAAAGUGAAAAGUUGAUUAGAAACUUGGAAAAGUGAGUUUUUAUGAAAGGGUAAAAGAAAUCACCCUUGAAACCAUAGAGCAUAGAAAAAAGAUUUAAAAAAAAAAAAAGCAAAGAAAAUGCUCAUGGUUGUGUGGAUUUGAAAAGAAAAAGAAAAAGAAAAACAUAGGGAUCAAAGAAAGGGAAAUUGUGUAGAGUUAAAUGUUUGAGAAUGCUCCUUUAGGAUAAGCAAUUUGGUUGAAUUCUCUUAAUCAUAUCCUUUCUUGUAACCUAAGCCACAUUACAGCCUUGAAAGAC
rnacentral:lncRNA from 1 species